GUCGUUGAUGUAACACGGAAACUUUAUUUACUAAUAUCAAAAUUUAAUAACAGUGAGUACAGUCAUGAAUACUUUUUUGUUGUGUAUAAAGGUUGGAGGGGUUCCAACUUAAUAUGUAUGUCCCCAUUUAAAAGCAUUGAUCGCCAAAAAAAAAGGGGGAGUUCAAACCCCCGGACCUGACCUCACCUGUGAUUCACCACUUUAACAUGAAUAAAUAUGUACGAAUACGUUCUAAAAUAUCAUCAUUUAAAAUUGAGUUAUGUGGUUUUGCUUACUAUAGUUUCUUUUGUUACCUAUUUUGACAGCGGACUCGGACUUUGUUAGACUGAGUUCGACUUUGCAUAUUGUUGCGUGUUUGUUGAUUGCUUAUAAGGUACAGGUAAAGGGAAGGGUUGAGCUCCUACAAAGUAUGUUUAAAUCCAAUGCAAUUUUGCGCCUGUCCCAAGUCAGAAGCCUCUAGCCUUGACGUCAUAAAAUUUUUGAGUCAGUUUUUUGUACUCAUUAUCCAAAAUCCAACAUGUUUCGAGCAUGAUUUUUGUGCUCCGAGCACUGAGCAAAGUUUUAUGACUUCAACCCGUGGUCUUUGUUAAGCUUCUAUGUUUUCUUUUACGGGAUACGGGAUUUACUCGCUUUGUUGAAGACCCAUUGGUGGUAUUGAGUUGUUUUCUGUCCUAUGGUCGGUGGCCGCAGCGCUUUUUAUAAAUAUUUCUUCUUUGCAUUACGAACGGUCAAUGGCAAAUAGUUGAAAGUCAAAUUUGUAUAAAAUGUAGAUGGUGAAGACUUAACUGUGUAAAGUGUUUGUAUUAUUUUAAUUACAUUUAAUAUUUAUAAGCGCAACAACUUCACAUGUUUCAUUUACAAUUGGAUAAAACGCCUAUAUAUAACUCUCAUUUAUCUUGCUAUGCAUGUACAGCAAGCUAUGUUAUUUGGUAUGAAACCAUAAAAUUGAGAAUGGAAAUGGGGAAUGUGCCAAAGAGACAACAACCCGACCAUAGAAAAAAACAAGACAAGAAGGUCACUAACAGGUCUUCAAUGUAGCGAGAAAUUCCCGCACCCGGAGGCGUCCUUCAGCUGGCCCUAAACAAAUAUAUACUAGUUCAGUGAUAAUGAACGCCAUGAUCUGUACUAAUUUCCAAAUUGUACAGUACAAUAGGCAAAGGGAAAUAAGUUAAAUGUGUGAAAUAAUUAACAUAUCAAAUAACUAAUUGGCAAAAACACCAUGAUUAAGGAAAAUGUAUAAGAAAGAAACCAAGCUGCUACUAGUAGUUUUUCAAUUUAGACAGUCACAAUUGUCAAAUCAGCGGUCGUCGUAUACACUUACUCGCAGCACACACUUAAUAUAAGGGAGCGACAAUUUGAUUUUUAGCGAGAGGGGUCAAGGAUGAACAAAUUUGUCCUUCAUCUUUUUUAAGUUGUAAUCUCUGUCCUGCCUUUUUCUCUCACUCUACUCGGUUGUCUCUCUCCAUUUGUUUUUAAUUUAUCCUGACUUUUUUUUACAUAACUUGUCAUUAUACCUGUUUUUUUGGCAAAGUUGUUCAUCCUACUUAUUUUACUUUAAACUCCUGUCCUGCCUAAAGUAUAUACAUAAAAAUUUACGUAGUAAUACAUGUAAUACAUGUUACUUGAAUCAGAAUAAAACAGUCAACACAAAGAAGUCAUUUACCUGCAACACAAUUUUUAUGUACACAUGUUUAAACAAACUAACCUUUUUUUUUACAUAAAUAAGGCCGUUAGUUUUCUCGUUUGAAUUGUUUUACAUUGUCUUAUCGGGGCCUAUUAUAGCUGACUAUGCGGUAUGGGCUUUGCUCAUUGUCGAAGGCCGUACGGUGACCUAUAUUUGUUAAUGUCUGUGUCAUUUUGGUCUUGUGUGUAUAGUUGUCUCAUUGGCAAUCAUACCACAUCUUCUUUUUAUAUUAGUUUAACUGUUGAAGGACUGUUAUAAAUUGAUCUUAUAUGAUAAACGGCACUACAUGAACUACACAAGUAGAAAUAAUAUAAGAUCCAUGUACUUGUUUUUGAGGUUUUGUCCCUUGAAAAAUUGUCGGGACAUGAUUAUCUUUAGAAUUUUCUUCUAUUGAAUAUAAGCACCUUUUAAUGUCCCUGCAACUAAAAAUUGAAGGGCUUCUUGUUUUACCCCUGUCCGUCCUUCUGUCAGUCCAUCCGUUCGUCCGUCCGUUCGUCUCAUUAUUAGUAUAUAGUUGGGAAUCUGAUGUUCAGUUGUUGUCGUUUGUUGAUGUGGUUCAUAAGUGUUUCUUGUUUUAUGAAUAUAUUAGACCGUUGGUUUCCUAUUUGAAUGAAUUUAAAUUCAUUUUAGUAAUUUUUGGUGCUCUUCAUAGCUUGCUGUUCGGUGUGAACAAAGGCCCCGCGUUGAACACCGUACUUUGAAAUAUAAAUGGUUUGUCUAGUUUUCUAUGAUGUUUUAUGAAAAAUUUGGCAAUCUUUGUAUUUAUGUGUAUUAGAAACAAAUAAUACUGACUUCUGAUAUCUAUUGUAGACAGAGGAAACAAUGGUUAAAGCAAUGUUGAUCAUUCUGUUAUUGGUGACAGUGACAUGCGCAUCCGCAUUUCCGGAUAAAAGAGCGGCAGUUUGUACAGGGUCCAGCGGAACUAUUUAUUUCGAGAAUUUCUGUGGUUGUAUAGGAAAAACACG
rnacentral:lncRNA from 1 species